rnacentral:lncRNA from 1 species
CUCUUCAGCCAGUGGAUAAGAGGGUCUUGGGGAACUCCAGCCCUACUUCAGCACCUCUGGGAGCAGAUCUCUAGGCACCUCCACCAUGGCCUGGGCCCCUCUCCUCCUCACCCUCCUGGCUCACUGCACAGGUUCUGUGGACUCCUAUGAGCUGAACCAGCCACGCUCAGUGUCUGUGCCUGGGACAGACGGCCAAGCUCAGCUGUGGGGAAGACAACAUUGGAAAUACUUAUGUGCAGUGGUAUCAGCAGAAGACAGGCCAGGCCCCUGUGCUGGUCAUCUAUCAAGAUAGCAAACAACCCUCGGGGAUCCCUGACCGAUUCUCUGGCACCAACUCAGGGAACACGGCCACCCUGACCAUCAGCGGGACCCAGGCCUUGGACGAGGCUGACUAUUACUGUCAAGUGUGGGAUAGUAGCAGUUAUGCUCCUCACAGUGACUCAGGCAGAUGGGCAAGUGAGACAAAAACCCGUUCCCCAGUCAGUGUCUCCCUCUCCCCCAGCCCCAGGAGGACUGUAGACAAAUGAGCCCAGGCUGCCAAGUGCUCCCCCAGCCACUCUUUUCUUCCAGUUCAGCAC